CCUCCUUUCUUUCUCAGCUAACGAUUUGGUCAAUCAUUCAAUAGCCUCCAUGAUCUAUUUUCAACAACUACCGAGGCACAAGUAUAAUUUUUUUUUAUUUUUGCUUGAAGGAAAAAUGUACGGUAUAUCUGUUUGCAUAUGCGAACGGACGGUGAUUGGCACACACAAAGAACCCCACCCCUCACCCAUAAGGUGAUUGGC
rnacentral:lncRNA from 1 species